ACUGCAGCCACCGCCAGGACAAGCAGCAUGUAAAGACGCCGGUCUUACUCUGCAUCUGCACGACAGAACGGUGGGACACUUCCGAAUAGCUCCAGCAACUAAUUUUGCACAGAGACCAUCAACUUUUAUAAGAGAGAAGUAAGCGAAACUAGAAAGACUCAGAUGCACCAGGAGGAUGAGAACGGAGAGCUUGCAAGGGGCUGGAGAAGACAGCAGCAAGAUUGACAUAGGAAAGAAGCCAGUUGGCGAAGACCUGGGAAUCCCCCCACACACACACACACACACACACACGCACACACACACAUGCACACACACGCACACACACCCACAAGGCUGCACACAACAAAAGAGCAUGCUCAAGAAAAUCCUCCACAUACAAAUGCCACAGCAAAGCCCUUGAUGUGCAAAUGUUCAAGAAAACAAGGGUUGUGAAUGACCUACAAAGUGUCCUUGAGACUCACGGCCCAGUGCUCACUUGUGUAUCCCCUUUCCCAACUCACUAUCCUGUUGCUGAAUAUUUGUUUAACUAAGCAAAGGUAUGUUGCAUUGUUUAGCUAUGUAGAGGUGUGUUGCAUUGUUUAUGUUGUGGAAUCCUUGUUUAUGUAAAGAUGUGUUGCUGUUUUACCUUGCCUGCCUGAGGCACC